ensembl:lncRNA
GGACAGGAUGGGGAGACCAGGGUUCUGCCAGGGCCGGGAGCGCCUCCAGCCAGCAGCGCCGGGCUUCCAGGUUGCUCCUCUCAGCUUCAACGUGGACAUUUCUGAGGGAGGCAGAACUGGCUGGUCACCCCAGGGGAGUGGAGUCAGAUUAGCCAAGGUGACCCCUGACUCUCUGACUCAUGUUUUAGGCCGGGCUAAUCCCAGCGAGGCCACGGGAGCAGGAAGCCCAUUCUCCGAUGCCCUGGCACACCGUCCCUUUCCAUGACUCCCAAGUCCUUGGUGGGGGCGGAAGGAGACUCAUUGGCCCCAUUCCCGGCAGGCUUCCUGGCAGGUUCCACAGGCCAGACGCUGGGUCAAAUCCAGCCUCUGCCUUCUCCCAACUGUGCCACCUGGGCAGGUUACCCAACCCGCUCAGCCUCAGUUUCCUCCUCUGUAAACAGGGCUAGUGAAUGUCAGCUGUCGACGACAGGACCAGGCAGGGUGUCCAGCCACUGCCAAAUGCCUGGGGCCUGGGCGAGGUCACGCUCCGCCAAGUUCUGCUGAAUGAGUAAAUCACAGCAGCGAUUCGGCUCCCAGCGCCCCGUGGGCAGGACUUUCUGUCAUUACCGCACAAUCUCUCUCUGGCCAAAUUGAAAGUCCUCAGCUGCUCUGGGAGCCCUCUUUCACAAGUGUCUUCAUGAGGUGUGACUGAAAAUGCUGCUGCUGCUGAGAGCCAACGAACAGAAAGGCAGGCUCCUGAGUGUCGUGAUGCACCCUCAUCCACCCUAUUCCCCUCACCUGGCACCACGCCACUUCUGUCUCUUCCCAAAAGUCCAAAAAGACCACGAGAAGUCAACUUUUUGAAGUGAUCCAGGAUAUCGAGGCAGUCAGGACAGUGCAACUAAAGACAAGAAAGGAACAGCUCAGAAAGUGCAGGAGUGAUGGAAUAAGUAUGGUCGAAGCUAGGGGAAGUAUUUUAAGGCGAUUAUUGGCAAUGUGUCUUUUACUGUACUAGAUUUUUAACAUUUUUUAAUGUUCACCAUAUUUUCAAUCAGACCUCAUAGAUUGUUUGGCAUAUCAUGACCAAUAAAUGUUUGUCAAAUGAAUAAAGGAAUACUGCCCCAAGA